CUCUGCAGGUCUAUCUGAGCUCCUUUCUUAGUUGGUGUUUCUGAGGAUCAGCUCUCAACUCUUGCCAGUGUCUUCAGCUGAUAUAAAACCAUGGACCACAUCACACAGUAGGAAAGAUUGAGUUUUCUUCCCAAGAAAAGGAGAAAUGCCUCCUGUGAAGCAUGGUGAAGGCAUGCCUGGAGGGCAGCGCUGCUGGCAUCGUGGGGUCACUGUAGGGCAGCACUCUCAGCUGCCCUGCUCAACGUACAGCCAGGCCAGGAGAGCAGGCAGGGCAUGCCUUGGCAAGGAGAUGGUGUGACACACUGGGCCAGAUCCCCUCCUGUAGCGCUAGGUGGGAGCACAGCAUAAGCAGGGCAGCAACGACAUUGGUGUGGGGCUGGAGUGGACUUUUGUGUUGCAGUGUCAUAUGCUUAGGCAGAAAUUCACUUGACCUUUUUUGGAAGGAGGAAGGCAGUGCUGAUCAUUCUUGGCCACUGUGCUGAAUAUGUGCUAGUUCACUUGCUGAUGGUGAUGUGUUUCCCAGCACAGAGAAGGCUUGUGUGUAUGCAGUUUUCUCUUAAGGUCAGAGUGUGCCGUAACACCCCUGAAACAGUAAACAGUGACGGACUGUGAAAGAUGCUGUACUCAUAACUUACCCAGGACGUUUUUGGCAUGCCAUAUAACCAGUGCCAAGGAAAGGUUUUCAGACUGUGGUGAUGCGCUGUCUCCUCAUGUUUUGCAGCCUUUCCUGGUGAAGGUAACUUCUUGUUGUGAUGGCAAAUCCCUACAGAAUGAAACAGGGCACUUCAGGGGGGCAUGUUCCCAUGGGAAAUCUCAGAAGAAAACAGAUGGAAACCAAACAUUCUUUGCUCAAAGAACCCUAGGAGAGGUGCAGUAUGUGUCAAGCCAUGAAAGCUACUUCAGGAAACCCAAGCCAUUCUUAUGAAGUAUGUACAAUAAGGUAGAAAUCUUUUCCAACCUUAGUGAUUAUAAAACCAUCAAGUCCAACUGUCAAGGCAUCACCACAACUGUAUAUUAAUCUUCAGACAUGUACACGCAUGGAAUGGAUUUAGGACUUCUGGUGGCCAAACCUCACACAAUGGGCACUGGUGAAUCUGCUGUGCCAAAACUAUUUAUUUGGCUGAGUUUCAGCCACCACUGUGACAUUAUUUCCAUUGCCCUUGAGUUCUGUCUGAACCUCUCCUAAACCCAGCUUCAUUAUUUUCUUACUAGUGAGCGGCCUGCUGGUGGAAAGCACGCUCCUGAAAGCUCAUGCACUCAGGCUCAUGAGGGAAGUCUGCUGUGGGAUACUCCUCACCAAUGAAUUGUACAGCACAGUUGCUUUUACCCACUUCUAGCAGCAUCACAGUGACACCAGUAUAAAAGCAGCAACUGUGAUUUUAGAGGUUACGCUCUCUUGCUUUUCUCCAGAGAUGGUUGGCCUUCCUGGGGAAGCCUUUUGUAAUGGAUGCAGGGAAAAGAAGCAGCCAUAUCCCCAUGCUUUUUUACUGCCUUUCUGGCAUUGCACCACUUCCUGUGACUCUCUCUCCUCCCAGCGAUGCAUGGCUUUAAGGCUGCAUAGGCUGGGCAAGUUAUAUUUUAGAGUGAGACUCUAUUUAGCUGUGAUGUCAACUGCAGCCAACUAUAAAAAGAUCAGUAAUGCUCUUUGAAAGUCUAACAGCUGCUGUUCUACACCCUCUCUGCUGUAUUAUCACUCUGCCCUAUUUCAUGUGCCACACAGCCAAAACAAAAUAUUGUAGCAAUCCUCUCAUUAUAUAACUCAAGGAAUGGGGGAUAAACUCCCUAGAAGCUAGGAGAAACUUGAGGUGAGCCAAACUGGGCAAUUUUACACAGUUUUUUAACAAAAAGGUAAUUUUAUCUGGGUUUGCAAUGUAGCAUGCUUUUUCCUUAGCAGUUGACUGCAUGCCAUUAGCAAUUCCAGCACAAUGACAGCAGACAUGCAAAGCUUUGCUUUGGGCAGCUUUGCUGCAUGUUACUCAUAUACAGUUAUAAACUGAGCUUGUCUGGACUGCAUGGAGUGAGUUCAGCAGUAUAUUACCUAGCAUAUGAAGCACAUCUUUGUCCUUAGCUGGGUGUGACCACAUGUUCGAAACCACAUUCAGGGUUCUCCUAGAGUCAAAAUCAGAAAACAAGUUCUGUUUACCCAGAGUGAGCAGACAGCGAGUAAUAAAUGUGGAAUUGUGCUAGCAAAAUACACUGUGGCAGUACUGGAAAUGGGGUCUUGGCUGGGCCUCUGAAUAUUCCUGGAGAAUAGGAAAAAAAAGUUGUCUCCUGGAGUAAGCUUCACUCCUGGAGACAACUUGUAAAUCAUGUACUAAUAAAUGAUGUUCAAGAAGUGUGCUGAGGCAAUAUGAGAAGUGGAGCAUCGCCCUGUGGCUUGGUCAGCCAUGGCAGGCUGGGUGUGCAUUAGCCCAGACAGCAAAGUGCAGCCUUCAGGCUGAUGGAAAGCUCCAAGCCUCCUCUGCUCCAGGUCCCUUCCUUGGUGGGACAAACCAAUGCAAAAAGGCUGCUCUGUUGUAUCUGGGCCAGUUGUAUUUGUUUUGUAGUGCAGAUAGGGCCUUUGUAGUGGGGAUGGAGAAUGGCCUGUUUGUAAGUGACACGCAAAGUCCUUUGACACAGGUCUGAAGUGGCAUUGAGCUCACUUGUCUGAGAGGAAAUGGUCGGCUUCCAACACGGCUGUUACCAAAGGUGACAAGACAGUUAGGCAAUGUGAGGAGUGAUUUUGCAUCAGGCAAAGCCUCUGGGCUGGAAUCGAGCCCACCAUGGCACAGGCUUGCCUGUGUCUGAGCCCUGCCUGAGCUCACUGAGCCCUGGCACCCAGCACCCACACAGGGACAUUGCAGAAGUACCCAGAAAUGAAAGCAAGUGGCCUGAAGACACACGGAAAGCUUGUGAGCAAGCCAAGGAGCAGCCUCAAUGUCAGCUUCCUGGCUCUGUUGAAAAUCCUUGGGGAGGCUCCCCUGCUUUCACUCACUUCCCACUGUUUGCAGGUGUGAGCAGUGUCUGGCAGCUCUGGUUACAUGCAGGCUGGAGAAAAACAGACCCACCCCAGCUGUUUUCCGGCAGCAGUGCCACAUAACGACCCCGUGGAUUAAUGAGCCCAGCAGAGGCUGCUGGGAGCAGGGUCUUGUCAUCUGGGGUUUGCUUCUACUUCAUGAUCCCAGAGGCGCAAGCAGCAGGCAGCACAGCAUGGCACUGCCAUCGCUUGAUUGCUUUGCUCUGGAAACUGCUCAACCAAAACGAUCCCCGUGGAUCUCUGGUCCUUUCUCAGCUCACUGAAACCAGAUGUACUUCUCAUACAAGUAUAGAGAUGGUAAAAGAUUGUAUAUUUUUAUUCAACAGUUCAUGUUGCAAGCUCAUGCAAGAAUCAGACUGAGAGAAUUUCCUAGAGACCACUAGACUCAAACUGAAAGCACGAAGCACAGCAGUGAACCCAGUGGGGCUCAGCACCCAACCUCGCAGUCCAGGAGAUGAAAUCCCUCAAGAAACAGCUAGACUUGGAGCUUCACGUUGUCAAAGGGAAUUGCUGAACUAACUCUUACCAACAUGUUAGAAGGUGAUCAACAGUGAGAUAAUUACAUUUCACACGCAAAAUGAUAUGAGGGGUCAUCAUGUAUGCCCAAGGACCUGAACUGGACAUUUCACACCACAGGUUCAACUAGCAAAGAUUGCUACUGCCCUCUUUUUGAAUAGAGAAGCUUAGCAAGAACUGGCUGCCUGUUCUUGAUAGCAGGGUGCUGGGAGGUACUGGACACAGAGCUGCUGACGCUUUGCAAUCCAUCUGGCAAAAGAUUUUCUUAUCCAGGUUUGAUCUGAAAAGACAUUUCAGUAUCUGCUUCCAUUUAACUGGAAAAUACAGCAGUAUUUCAUUACAUGUCUUGUAUUUAUGUGAAUGUUUUAUUCUCUGUGUUUUGCUGUUAUAUAAAGGCUACACAAUGAUUACAAUGAUAAGCACUCCAUAGAGUCCUGUAACAAAAGCAACACAUAGGAGAUUCACAUUCACAUCCUUUUGAGCCUAAGAGCUUGUCUCUGCUAGACAGACUUUGUUGCUGUGGGUGUCUCUGUGAGGUUAAAGAUGUGGUCUUCCUGCCUGUGUCUGUAGAGCUGCAUCUAAAUGAAGGCUUUUAUCGGUGUGACUGUGUCAGCAAAGGACACAGCUCUUAACUCACAUACUUGCGCUAGUAAGGCUCUUCAAGUGGCAGGCAAUUUCUGAAGACAGAAGUAAGAGAAUUGCUUCUUU